rnacentral:lncRNA from 1 species
AAUCCUAUUGACAUGACCAUACCAAACAAGUUGUUGGUCAUGACGUCGAACACGAUGUCAUUUUCGACUUCCAUUAUCUGACGCACUCUAUCAUACGGACCCGAUCUCUCCUAGAAAUUCCUGCCGACCUUCUCCAGAAAUCCAUCUCCGUUGCUCUUAGCAUAUCCUGUGUCCGUUUCUUCAGCUGCCAAACUUCACAUCCGUAUGUUAAUAUACUUUUUACUACAGCGUUGUAUAUCCUCCUCUUGUUAUCUUUGGAAAUCCGCUGAUCCCAGAGGAUUCCAUUUAACAUCGCUAUAGCCUUCCUUGCUAAUACAUAUCAUACAUGCAUGGGGAUAAUUUCAAGUGCGAAAAUAUUCUUGUCCUCUUAUACUUGAAAUUAAUUCCAGUGAAAAAAUGUAUGUAACAAAUUGACAACUGUCUCUAAGGAAACCCAAAGGGUUGAGUUCAACUGAUUGUAAGACUCAGUACGUCGUUGACUUCAAACAUUUUUUCCAUGGUCUCUCAUUCCAUAUCUUUAAAACAAUAGUGCAUUUUCUUCAGAAAAUACAGAAUAAAUUAAGAAGAAUACAUUAUUCUUUUCAAUUCUGCUCGGCGAGUCUAGCCUCAGUCAUCAGCUCUGACCACCAAAAAACCGCGACCACCAUCACUGCGGUCACGAUUGACAGGCCGGAAACUAAUAGCCAGAUGAUCGCCACAGAAAGUGAGGAGCAACACGACCAAUACCCCUUCAAAAACGCGGGAUAUCCAAAAACUCGCAGAGCUGGAGGCUCAAGUACGAUGACGAGCAGCUCGUAUUCAACGGAUGAAAACGGGGUUAGGAAAACUAUGAAUCGUGCAACCACUCAAAAAAUAUCUCCGGGUCGCUCGUCAUCUUGGCACACUGUCGAUUACGACGAUGGAACUGUGAUUGCGAGCGUGGUCAGUCGUGGUCCUGCAGAUAUCGUGGUCCAAGGGAAUAAGGCUUACGUGAACGGGAUUUUUGUUUCUGGGGAUGUGAGACAGUUACCUACAGAGCCUACUUACCAGAAAACACAGGACGGGAGCUACUGGUUCACCAACCUCCCCCUUGGCUGGGAAAUGGAUGAGAGAGAGAAAAAAUUCUUCAAUGAUAAGAAGAGAAGGAUGAAUGGACAAAGAGAAGACUAUGCAAAUGCUGGACAGGCCAUUAUAAAAUCAGCAGGCAUCACGCAACCUAAUUGGAGCUCCCCGGAUGGGUAUGGAAGGAACGUGGAGAAUAUAUGGGACCUGCAGAGAGCUUUGGCAAUCAGUUCUCAAAUGACAUUCUGA